AACGAACGCUGGCGGCAUGCCUAACACAUGCAAGUCGAACGAGACCUUCGGGUCUAGUGGCGCACGGGUGCGUAACGCGUGGGAAUCUGCCCUUGGGUUCGGAAUAACAGUUAGAAAUGACUGCUAAUACCGGAUGAUGUCUUCGGACCAAAGAUUUAUCGCCCAGGGAUGAGCCCGCGUAGGAUUAGCUAGUUGGUGGGGUAAAGGCCUACCAAGGCGACGAUCCUUAGCUGGUCUGAGAGGAUGAUCAGCCACACUGGGACUGAGACACGGCCCAGACACCUACGGGAGGCAGCAGUGGGGAAUAUUGGACAAUGGGCGAAAGCCUGAUCCAGCAAUGCCGCGUGAGUGAUGAAGGCCUUAGGGUUGUAAAGCUCUUUUACCCGGGAUGAUAAUGACAGUACCGGGAGAAUAAGCCCCGGCUAACUCCGUGCCAGCAGCCGCGGUAAU
rnacentral:rRNA from 1 species